GCCUGGGUGGCUCAGUCGGUUGAGCAGCCGACUUCGGCUCGGGUCACGAUCUCGCGGCCCGUGAGUUCGAGCCCCGCAUCAGGCU
rfam:Felis catus isolate Cinnamon breed Abyssinian chromosome X, whole genome shotgun sequence.